rnacentral:rRNA from 1 species
GACGAACGCUGGCGGCGUGCUUAACACAUGCAAGUCGAACGGAAAGGCCCUGCUUUUGUGGGGUGCUCGAGUGGCGAACGGGUGAGUAACACGUGAGUAACCUGCCCUUGACUUUGGGAUAACUUCAGGAAACUGGGGCUAUUACCGGAUAGGAGCUCCUCCUCCUUGGUGGGGGUUGGAAAGUUUCGGCGGUUGGGGAUGGACUCGCGGCUUAUCAGCUUGUUGGUGGGGUAGUGGCUUACCAAGGCUUUGACGGGUAGCCGGCCUGAGAGGGUGACCGGCCACAUUGGGACUGAGAUACGGCCCAGACUCCUACGGGAGGCAGCAGUGGGGAAUAUUGCACAAUGGGCGGAAGCCUGAUGCAGCAACGCCGCGUGCGGGAUGACGGCCUUCGGGUUGUAAACCGCUUUCGCCUGUGACGAAGCGUGAGUGACGGUAAUGGGUAAAGAAGCACCGGCUAACUACGUG